GGAGGAGGGACAAAGGGAAAUGGUUGGGGAAAGGAGGAGAGUCUCUAUGCAGAACACAAAGGAAUGCCUCUCCAGAGAACCUCGGAUCAGCUGCUGUAGCACACAACGCUACAGUCACAGUCAGCCUGGGCAGGAGAUCAGAGCGGUAGAGCAGCUCCACACAGCAGGUCCAUAGAGCAGGUCCAUAGAGCCGCAGAGCAGGUCCAUAGAGCGGGUCCACAGCUGGUCCAUAGAGCAGGUCUAUAGAGCAGGUCUAUAGAGCAGGUCUAUAGAGUAGGUCUAUAGUGUAGGUCUAUAGUGUAGGUCUAUAGGGUAGAUCCAUAGAGCCGUGGAGCAGGUCCAUAGAGCGGGUCCACAGCUGGUCCAUAGAGCAGGUCCAUAGAGCAGGUCUAUAGAGCAGGUCCAUAGAGCAGGUCCAUAGAGCAGGUCCAUAGAGCAGGUCCAUAGAGCAGGUCUAUAGAGCAGGUCCAUAGAGCAGGUCCAUAGAGCAGGUCUAUAGAGCUGGUCAGUAGAGCAGGUCUAUAGAGCAGGUCUAUAGAGCUGGUCAGUAGAUCAGGUCUCUAUAACAGGGCCAUAACAGCGAUCAAUACCACGGGGCCUUUGCUCUUUGAAGGUGAUGAUUUACAGGCUGAUGGAUCCAUUAACCGCCCAACCCUUGUUUGUUUCCACACACUCUCAUCCAGAGCAACAAAGCCUGAUUUUCAGGUUAUUAGGGUGCAUGUAGG
ensembl:lncRNA